rnacentral:rRNA from 1 species
AGUGAACGCUGGCGGUAGGCCUAACACAUGCAAGUCGAACGGCAGCACAGUAAGAGCUUGCUCUUACGGGUGGCGAGUGGCGGACGGGUGAGGAAUACAUCGGAAUCUACUUUUUCGUGGGGGAUAACGUAGGGAAACUUACGCUAAUACCGCAUACGACCUACGGGUGAAAGCAGGGGAUCUUCGGACCUUGCGCGAUUGAAUGAGCCGAUGUCGGAUUAGCUAGUUGGCGGGGUAAAGGCCCACCAAGGCGACGAUCCGUAGCUGGUCUGGGAGGAGGAUCGGCCACACUGGAACUGAAACACGGUCCAGACUCCUACGGGAGGCAGCAGUGGGGAAUGUUGGACAAUGGGCGCAAGCCUGAUCCAGCCAUACCGCGUGGGUGAAAAAGGCCUUCGGGUUGUAAAGCCCUUUUGUUGGGAAAGAAAAGCAGCAGGUUAAGACCCCGCGGUUCUGACGGUACCCAAAGAAUAAGCACCGGCUAACUUCGUG